rnacentral:rRNA from 1 species
GAUGAACGCUGGCGGCGUGCCUAAUACAUGCAAGUCGAGCGAACAGACGAGGCGCUUGCUCCUCUGACGUUAGCGGCGGACGGGUGAGUAACACGUGGAUAACCUACCUAUAAGACUGGGAUAACUUCGGGAAACCGGAGCUAAUACCGGAUAAUAUAUUGAACCGCAUGGUUCAAUAGUGAAAGACGGUUUUGCUGUCACUUAUAGAUGGAUCCGCGCCGCAUUAGCUAGUUGGUAAGGUAACGGCUUACCAAGGCAACGAUGCGUAGCCGACCUGAGAGGGUGAUCGGCCACACUGGAACUGAGACACGGUCCAGACGCAUACGGGAGGCAGCAGUAGGGAAUCGUCCGCAAUGGGCGAAAGCCUGACGGAGCAACGCCGCGUGAGUGAUGAAGGUCGUCGGAUCGUAAAACUCUGUUAUUAGGGAAGAACAAAUGUGUAAGUAACUAUGCACGUCUUGACGGUACCUAAUCAGAAAGCCACGGCUAACUACGUG